rnacentral:tRNA from 1 species
GCUCAGUCGGUAGAGCGCAAGACUCUUAAUCUUGUGGUCGUGGGUUCGAGCCCCAC